rnacentral:rRNA from 1 species
AGGGAAUAUUGGACAAUGGGCGCAAGCCUGAUCCAGCCAUCCCGCGUGCAGGAUGAAGGUCCUAUGGAUUGUAAACUGCUUUUAUCAGGGAAGAAACCUUGGGAUUCAUCCCAAGUUGACGGUACCUGAGGAAUAAGCACCGGCUAACUCCGUGCCAGCAGCCGCGGUAAUACGGAGGGUGCAAGCGUUAUCCGGAUUUACUGGGUUUAAAGGGUGCGUAGGUGGUCUUGUAAGUCAGCGGUGAAAGCUCGGAGCUCAACUCCGAAAUUGCCAUUGAUACUGCAAGGCUUGAGUACAGUUGAGGUAGGCGGAAUAUGUCAUGUAGCGGUGAAAUGCUUAGAUAUGACAUAGAACACCAAUUGCGAAGGCAGCUUGCUAAACUGAAACUGACACUGAGGCACGAAAGCGUGGGGAUCAAAC